rnacentral:rRNA from 1 species
AUUGAACGCUGGCGGCAUGCUUUACACAUGCAAGUCGAACGGUAACAGGCCGCAAGGUGCUGACGAGUGGCGAACGGGUGAGUAAUGCAUCGGAACGUGUCCAGUCGUGGGGGAUAACUACUCGCAAGAGUAGCUAAUACCGCAUACGAUCUAUGGAGGAAAGCGGGGGACCGUAAGGCCCCGCGCGAUUGGAGCGGCCGAUGUCAGAUUAGGUAGUUGGUGGGGUAAAGGCUCACCAAGCCAACGAUCUGUAGCUGGUCUGAGAGGACGACCAGCCACACUGGGACUGAGACACGGCCCAGACUCCUACGGGAGGCAGCAGUGGGGAAUUUUGGACAAUGGGCGCAAGCCUGAUCCAGCAAUGCCGCGUGCAGGAAGAAGGCCUUCGGGUUGUAAACUGCUUUUGUACGGAACGAAACGGCUCUGGUUAAUACCCGGGGCUAAUGACGGUACCGUAAGAAUAAGCACCGGCUAACUACGUG